UGUACCUUAAUGGCAGAGCACUUGCCUAGAAUGCAUGAGGCUCUGGGUUCAAUUCCUAGCA
rnacentral:tRNA from 1 species